rnacentral:rRNA from 1 species
AUGAGCGCCCCCAUCCCGCCGUGUUUUCAGUUUGAGCUCUUCUGGCUCGACCAGGCGAGAUUCCUCGAGGCGGUCGCGGCUAAGUGGAACUCCGCGCGCUCAUCUCCCCACCGCUCCAUGUCUGCCAUUGACUCACAGUUCUCCGCCAAGCUCGACCGCCAAUUUACGAAGAGGUGGGGCGCGAACCUUGGUCGAGACCUUCGCGAACGCAAGAAAGCCCUCCUGACUGCCAUCCAAGCCCUUGACGCCCGCGCUGGCACUUCCGGGAUUUCCCCGGAUGAGUGGAUGCUGAGAUAUGAUCUCGAGGAUCAGCUCUCGACCAUCUACACGGAUGAAGAAGCAUACUAGAGGCUUUGCGGCACCCAAUGGUGGGUGCUCCAUGGAGACGCCAAUACGGCUUACUUCCAGGUGAUUGCCAAUGGGCGGCAGCGACAAAACUCCGUCAUUUUGUGGGAUGGAGAUACCCCUUUCGUCCGUCCUUCGGACAUCCGAGUCCAUGUCGAUGGCUUUUAUAAAGCCCUAUCUUCCCCCACCCCUCGGGGUGGGGCCGCACUGGCCCCCGACACUUGGUCGGCUACCCAGUUAGUGUCUGACGAAGCAAAUGUUGCCUUGGUGGUGCCUUUCUCUGAGGAUGAGGUCCUCGUGGCCAUAAAGGGUAUGAACCCCUCCUCGGCCCCGUGUCCGAAUGGGCUGCCAAUGAUGUUUUUCAAAAUGUUCUGGCAGACCAUCAAACCGGAAGUCAUGGCCCUCUUCGAUGAAUUCUACUCGGGGGGCAUGGACCUUGGGUGCCUAAACUAUGGGGUCAUCACUCUCAUCCCCAAAGUUCCGAGUGCUUCUGACAUCUAUCAGUUUCGGCCUAUCACCAUGAUCAAUGUGAUAUUUCGGAUCUUUCCCAAAGGGUACGCCAAUAGGGUGACCCUUCUAGCUGAUACCGUCACCCACCACUACAAAAAAAUACACUUCCGUGAUGAUAUGUGUUUGUCACAAUAG